GCCCGUUUGGCGCAAUGGUAGCGCGUCGCCCUCCUACAGUACAAGGUUCAACCCACUGACGGGCGAAGCCCGCGAAGGAAACGCAAGGCGAAGGUUGCGAGUUCGAUCCUCGUGACGGGUG